GAGGGCAUAGCUCAGUGGUGGAGUGCAUGAUUAGCAUGCAUGAGGUCCGGGUUCAAUGUGAGGUCCUGUUUUAAUCCCCAGUACCUCCA
rnacentral:tRNA from 1 species